GUGCUUGCUUUGGCAGUACAUAGACUAAAACUGGAAUGAUACAGAGAAGAUUAGCAUGGCCCCUGUAGAAGGAUGACAUGCAAAUUUGUGGAGUAUUCCACAUUUUU
rnacentral:snRNA from 1 species